CCUACGGGUGGCAGCAGUGAGGAAUAUUGGUCAAUGGACGCAAGUCUGAACCAGCCAUGCCGCGUGCAGGAAGACGGCUCUAUGAGUUGUAAACUGCUUUUGUACGAGGGUAAAUCCCGAUACGUGUAUCGGGUUGAAAGUAUCGUACGAAUAAGGAUCGGCUAACUCCGUGCCAGCAGCCGCGGUAAUACGGAGGAUUCAAGCGUUAUCCGGAUUUAUUGGGUUUAAAGGGUGCGUAGGCGGAUUGAUAAGUUAGAGGUGAAAUGUCCGAGCUCAACUCGGGAACUGCCUCUAAUACUGUUGAUCUAGAGAGUAGAUGCGGUAGGCGGAAUGUAUGGUGUAGCGGUGAAAUGCUUAGAGAUCAUACAGAACACCGAUUGCGAAGGCAGCUUACCAAUCUAUAUCUGACGUUGAGGCACGAAAGCGUGGGGAGCAAACAGGAUUAGAUACCCUUGUAGUC
rnacentral:rRNA from 1 species